AUUUCAUUUUCCGUCGUAAUGUCCGUCAGAAUACCGUUGUUUUCUUGUAGUGACAUAAGAGUCUAGGUUUUCGGAUUCAGUUCUUAAAUGCCAAAAUUUUAUAUUUAAUAUAUAAACAAAAUUUUAAACCCUCCAAGAUUCACAAGAAUUUCAAUAUUUUAUUUCCCUUCACAUCUUUGUAAUUGGAAGCAAGAAUUUGGAAGCUAACAAUAGGAAGUUCUCUUAUGAUGAAAUCUUCAGUUAGUUUCAGAAUGAAUUGUCUCGGUGGCAUUGGUUGGGCUAGUUUUUGUUCUUCUUGUCUCCUCCAUCUCUGUCGUUACCAUUAAACAACAGAGGAGAGACAUGUAUGACUUUAAAUUUGGAACAACAAAGGCUGUUUACCUUUUACAAACUCUGCCCAGCUUAGUUCUGACUUUGGUGUUUGUUUGUGUUUAGACAUGGCUAUCAAGAAAAUGAUUACAAAACUAGCGGUAGGAGUUUCUGAGAACCGCUUUUCUGAAUCAAGCUUCUAGAGAUUGUCUCUUGUAAGAUGUAGUAAAUGUUUUGGUUGAAGGUAGUCCUGCAUCAGAGGGAUCAUUUUGUUAUAUCAGCUGCUCCAGGUGGUCCUGCAAAUAAUGCGCACCCGGCAAUGUUAUCUUUGGGAAUUUAUAACACAACCACAACCACAGAAACUCUCACCAUAAUAUGAUACUGCACACAGAUGUUGCAGUGAGCCACAUAUCCACUUUUCUUCCUUCAUUUACCUCAAAGAAAUGAGGAUGCUUUUAAAGCUUUGGUUAAAGAGGGGGCGUAUUCUCUUCCCAGCACCUGCAUUGCUUACUGGCUUCAGUGAAGUCAAGAUUACGUGAGCUUCCUGGCUCUGGGAGUAAUUCACCAAAGAUUGCUAACAACAUUCUGUCAAAAAAUGCUUUUGCUGCGGUCAAAGAAGCAAUUGAGACCUUGAGAGGCAACAAUGUAAAAUGCAGCUGUCUUGGAUUUUCGAGCCAACAGGUGAUAUGAUUAUAUAACCACAGAAGUGCUUUUCUUUUUGUUCUUGAACACUUGAGAGUUUUCUUUUGCUGCAGUGGCGGUUCUUUCCCACAAGGAAUUGAGAUUGCUAAGUUUUUGGUAAAACCUCAAAUUCAUUGAAAGAGUUGGUCAUCUCCCAGUUGUCCGGUUAAUUCAAUCUACGAUGGUAGACUAGUGACCAUAGAUAUUACGUUCUAAGAGCUGCAGAUACCUAUACUAUAUUGUGUUUUCUACUAUUCGUAGAUCUAAAAAUAAAAUUGUGUUCCCUAAUAUUUAGUCAACCAAAAUAUUUUUCGUAUGAUUUUUUUUUCUUGUUUAUAUACAUUUUGUAUAGUUUUUCAUAUUUUCUUGACCUUUUAAAAUAAUUAAUAUGGAUUUUAUUUUAGUUGGCCAUGGUUAUCUGUGUCCAAAAUGAACAAAAAAGAGAUUUAUAUGGACUUAUUUUUCUGUUCGGUUUUGGCCAUUUUUUUAAUAGUUUUGGGUAUAAUAAAUAGUAUGGGCCGGACUAGGGGUUGAAGAUUAUAAAGCUUGCCUUAAGCCCAAAUUACGGGCAUAUAUAUAUAUACAGGGGCGAAGCCAGGUUACCCACUAUAGGGGUCUGUGCAUCCAUAAUAUUUAUUUAUAAUGUAGUAUUCAUAUAAAAAAACAUAAAAAUUCAGUUAGAACAGGUGGAAAAGUGGUGUUGUGCACCCAUACCAGACUCCAGUUCGAAAAGUGCACAACUAGGCAGCUCGGAUCAUUUUCAAAAGAAGAAAUUGCUCCUAAUGAUCAAGUCCAAAGCCAAAUCCCCCACCUAAGUCAGCAGGAAGAAGAGGAAGAUGUUGUUUAACUUAAAACUUGCUUUGCUUUAUCUGGAAUUGAAAACCUUGUUUUAUGUUAUAUGUGUGGUUUGGAGAAAUCUUUGUCAUGAUAAUAUCCAUGUGGCUUUUAAUUGAACUACUUUUUUUUCAACGUGGAUGCAUUACAUAAUUUAUCUUCUACUCUAUCUUUUCACAAGAUAGAAUAUUAGGGUUGCUGACAGGCUGGACCGAAUACCUCAUAUUUAUUUACCUAUCCAAUCAAAUUCUCCAAGAAUUUCAAUAUUUUAGUUCCCAUCACACAAUAGGAAGUUCUGUUAUGAUGAAAUCUUCAGUUAGUGAGAGAUUUUGAAUUUGGAACAACAAAGGCUUUAAACCUUUUACAAACUCUGCUCAUCAGCUUUUACUUCUGACUCGUGUGUUUGAAGAUGGAGUAAAUGUCUAGAGAUGAUCAUCAAAGGCAUCAUUUUCUUAUAUCAGCUGCUCCAGCACAACGGCAGAAACUCUCACCAUAAAAUGAUACUGCUCCACUUUCAUCCUUCAUUUACCUCUAAAGAAAUGAGGAUGCUUUUUCAUGCAUUGCUUACGUUUUAUCUUCUUUCAUCAGGUCACUCCUACUAUGUUAAGUUCAGGAGAUAGUGAAUUUCUGUGAAUGCAGUGAAGUCAAGAUUACGUGAACAUCCUGGAUCUGGGAGUAAUUCACCAAAGAAUGGCUGAGGUCAAAGAAGCAAUUGAGACCUUGAGAGGCAAUUACGAUACCAAAAAUCACCAUGAGCAAGCACAUCUGCAACCCAUCUUUCACCUUUGAUUUUCUCAGAUCGCAGAGACUAACGUUGUCUCUCAGGGUCAAAGCUUUAAAUCAGAGAGCCGGUUUACAGAUUAGGCUCUGCUUGGUAUGAACUUUUGGCUUUAGAACUUUAAAGUAGUAGAGACUUUUUUGCUCCCAAAAAAGUAACUUCAAAACUUUAAAUUUGAAGUUAUAAAGAGUAAAACUCUAUAAUUGAAGUUUCACUACUCAUCAUAUUUUUAUUUGCAUUUUAGUUCAUACAACAACACAUCA